GACGAAAAAAAUUAUUCAGACGACGAAAUUAAAAUUUCGUCGUCUAAAGUUGACCAAAGCCAACGAAAAUUUAAAUUAGCCGACGAAGGAAAAUUUCGUCGGCUAAAAUCCACGUUAGCCGACGAAAAAAUAAUUCGUCGGCCUGGUUUUUUUAUUUUUGUCGGCUAAAGCCUUUCUCCUGGUAGUGUCACUACCAGGACAAGCACUUUAGCCGACGAAAAAUUUUCGUCGGCCUGUCAACUUAAUUCGUCGGCUAAGAGCUUAGCCGACGACCUUUCGUCGGCUAAGAUUUCGGCGGGAAAAGGUCGUCUGUGGUGACUUUAGCCGACGACACAUGUAGAAGUCGUCGGCUAUAGUCCAGAGUUUAGCUGACGAAAAAAAUGUCGUCGGCUAUAGUCCAAACUUUAGACGACGAAAAAAUGUCGUCGGGUAUAGUCCAAACUUUAGCCGACGAAAAAAAUUUAAGGUAUUCGUCGGCUAUAGUCUAGAGUUUAGCCGACGAAAAACAUGUCGUCGGUUAUUUCUCCGACUUUAGCCAACGAAUAAUUUAAAAUAUUCGUCGGCUAAAGUUUGUAAAUAAAAAACAAAAAACAUCUAUAGCCGACGAAAUAUAGUCUAUUUCGUCGGCUUUAUAGGGAUUUAGCCGACGAAUUAAAGCGUAUUUCGUCGGCUAAAAUUUAAUUUAAAAAAAAAAAAAAACUUUAGCGGACGAAUUAAGGCGUUUUUCGUCGGCUAUAAGUCCAUUCCAGUAAAAAAAAAAAAACCCCGAAAUUUCUGAAUUACCAUUUCAAGGAAGCUGCAAAAUACACCAAAACAAUUCCAUAUAACCAACAACAAGCACAUAAAACUAUAUAAUUCAUUCAUCAACUACAGAAAAUCUAAAUCGUCUAAAUUAAUAUCCACUUCUGGGGGCUGCUGCGGAGGUUGCGGCGGCUGGGGUAGCGGUAUGGGCGGAGGCAUGGGCGGAGCCAGAAGUCCCUGAAGCUGAGCAGCUGUAAAGUCCUGCAUGUACUGGAACAUCUGCUGCUGCUGGGCCUGCUGGAUGGCAUGUAUCUCGGCAACAUAGGCUGCCUACGCGGCAUUAUAGGCUGCCUGCGAGGCAUUAUAGGCUGCCUGAGCAGCUUGCUGUUCUCGUAGUCUCUGAACUUUCGACUCUAGCUGAGUCGUCCUGGUGGUCGUGGACGUGGUCCUGCUGCUAGUCGAGGCUGCCUUUCGUUGAAAUCCUGGAGUGGUCUUCAGGAUCCCCCUCGCCUUUCUUUCCUAGACCUCGGCAGUAGAAGUUGUUUGCUCUCGGUGGGAAAGCUGUGCCCAUGAUCCUCGCCCCAAUCGUCGGAUCCGAAAUGUCGAUCCGGGACAUGGCUUCGGACAUCUCUUCCUCCUGCGUGUCCGGCCAUGUCUCCCUCGCUAUAGCACUCAUCACCUCGUCACUAGCCUCCCUCACCUUCGCCUAUAUGGAUAGGAAAAAUAUUAUUAAUUAACAUUUUGACAUAUAUAUAAGUAAAUUUAAAAAUUUAAAAACGUAAGAUGACUUACAAUAUCCUCUUGGGAGUCAGGAUAUGUCUUCUCGUACGUAUAGACGUACCAGUUGACUUCUGGAUGUUCCCUGGCCGCCUCGUCCAUGAAGACAGCAAACGGUCUAGAACCGCCAUGAUGGUUCCUUGUGUUGCGUUGCCGGUUCUGAGAGUUCGCUCGGGAAACGGCCUUCAAAGAAAAAAAUAAAUUAUUAGUAAAAUAUUUAAAAACGGACGUACUUAAUGACAAAUUAACUAAUUAAUUUUUUUAAAUACCUGUUUACGAGGGUUGUUGAAUUCUGAUGUCAGAAGCCAACGCCACUCGUACUCCCUGUACUGGAACUCAGCAGGGGUACCAGAACGUGCGUUCCCGUCGCGUAGUCCAGUGGGUCCN
rnacentral:lncRNA from 1 species